CUGCUGCUUAUGCCUCAUUGGCCAAGUCUGAUCACAUGGAAGUCCUUAGCUCCAUGAGAGGCUGGGAAAUGUAAUUUAAAGAAAUAAGUCCAAGCCUGUUUGACAGUAAGAAAAGGAAAAUGAUACUUGAGAGAGCUGCACAGAGAAGCUGAUUAAUAACUGUGAAAGUAGAGGAAAUUAUCCUGGGACUGGGAGUUGAGAAGGGAGCGUAACUGAGGCCGAAUCCCGAUGAACGUGGGGCCAACCAGAAAGAGAAAAGAAGAGGGAUUAAUUAACCUGAGAAAGAGCAUCAGCAAGGGAUAGAGUCACCAAAGUUUGGCAAGGUAUAAACCUAUCCAUGAGAAAGACUACAUUUUCCCAGCCACUGUUACAUAAUCUGAAACUGAACCCAUGAAAUCUCCAAGGAAUGUAUGUGCAGCCCUUAAUCCUGGCCAGUAGGAUGUGAGCAAAAGUGAUACGUGCUUCUUCUAGGUCAUACCUUAAGAGAAAGAAGUACGUUUAACCUUUGACAAAAUUCAACAUCCUUUCAUGAUAGGAUUAAGUAUGAUUAAGUAUGGAAGGAUCUGUUCCAUACCGACAGAUUAAGUAUGGAAGCAUUAUUCCUCAACCCACAGCUAACGUCAUACUCAAUGGUGUAAAGUUAAAAGCCUUUCCUCCUAGGAUCAGAAAUAAGACAAGGAUGCCCACUACCACCAUUUCUAUUCAACAUAGGACUGGAAGUCUUAGUCAUAUCAAUUUGGCAAGAAAAAAUAAAUAAAUAAAAGGCAUCCAGUCAGAAUUUCAUCAGAAUGAAAUCUGUUUACAGAUCACAUGAUAUAGAGAACUCUGAAGGCCACCCCGAAACUGCUAAAACUCAUAAAUGAAUUUAGUAAAGUUGCAAAUAUAAAACCAA